UAGCCCAGGGGAGCGGAGCGGGGCCUGGACCAGCCUGCCGCUCUGCUUGGUUGCCAGUGGGAUGGGGACGGGGCUGAGCAGCGAGCUGGGAAGCAGCAGUCAGCGCGGGGGGGUGAAGGCAGGAACCUGGACCAUCUUGGAGACCGUGGAAGCCCUGGGGUCCUGCCUUGAGGACACAGACCCUGGGACGCGAGGGCGAGGCCUCCAGCUGCUGUCCCAGGUCCUGCUCCAGUGUCACUCCGUGCUCCGAGAGGAGGAAGGUGGGGGAUGGGCCUGCCCCAGGCUGCCGUCCUCGCGUGGCGUCACUGCGGUCCUUGCCGGGGAGCGAGUGCAGCUCCGUGCGCACACUGCUCUAGUAGCUGGGCUGCUCUCAUCCACGUCGGCCUGGCCCGGCCGUAGCACAGCCCUCGCCUGGGGGCGCUCCAUGCUUCCGCGGGGCGCAGCACAGGCCGGGGCAGCCUGGCAGGAGUAGCAGGGGACGGGCCCGAGGGGGAAGUGCAGGCCAGGGACGGC